UACGAAGGGGGCUAGCGUUGCUCGGAAUCACCGGGAGUAAAGCGCACGUAGGCGGACUCUUAAGUCGGGGGUGAAAUCCUGGAGCUCAACUCCAGAACUGCCUUCGAUACUGGGAGUCUUCGAGUUCGGGAGAGGUGAGUGGAACUGCGAGUGUAGAGGUGAAAUUCGUAGAUAUUCGCAAGAACACCAGUGGCGAAGGCGGCUCACUGGCCCGGUACUGACGCUGAGGUGCGAAAGCGUGGGGAGCGAACAGG
rnacentral:rRNA from 1 species